AAUGCCUACCGGUGACUUUGAGAUGACGAUGAGAUCCAAUGCCAUUUGAGUGGCUGAUGAAUGUUUGCCUCUUUUGGAGUCCCCAGGGUUCUAAACGUGCUUCACUGUCCUUUUGUGUGACAGUCUGACUGACUGUGGACCCAGGACUAGCAGGGUGGGCACUGGGACAUCAUUGAGAGUUCACUGAUGAGGAUAGGCUGUGUUAUUCCUUCAGACACUGGAUCUGGACCACAGGUUUACUUACCAGAUUCCAUUUGUGUCAGCGCUGGGGACAUGAUUCUGAAUUAGGAGGAAGGUCUCUGAACAGCGGAAGCUGACUGUCCCUAACGGGUGUCAUCAGAAGACACUGGGCUUUUCACAUCUCAGUACCCUCCUAUGCUAGAGUCCUAUCAGCCCAGUUGACCUCACUGCCCUCAGGAGUGCCCUGUCCUCAAGUUCAUCAAUGUGUCUUCUUCUCAUCCUUGUCAAUGACAACAUCUUGGACUCUUCCUUAGGCCUGUCCCCAGCUCCUCCACACUGGAGUUUUCAGACCAAUUUUACAGAUUGUCAGAUGGACUGAAUAAAGAGUAGGACAAAUUCUCUGCAAAGAUGGUGGCCAGCCAUUCCUCAUAGCCCUCGGUGUGUAGGUUGGACCUUCCAUCAAGAAGAGCCUGGGGCCUGCAAGCUGGCUCAUCAGGUAAGGGGGCUUGCCACAAAAGCCUGUCAU